GAUGAACGCUAGCGGGAGGCUUAACACAUGCAAGUCGAGGGGCAGCAUAGGGUAGCAAUACUCUGAUGGCGACCGGCAAACGGGUGAGUAACGCGUAUGCAACCUACCCUGUACAGGGGGAUAACCCGGAGAAAUUCGGACUAAUAUCCCGUAAUAAUAUCCGGAGGCAUCUUUGGAUAUUUAAAGUUCCGACGGUACGGGAUGGGCAUGCGUAACAUUAACUGGUUGGUAAGGUAACGGCUUACCAAGGCUAUGAUGUUUAGGGGUCCUGAGAGGGUGGUCCCCCACACUGGUACUGAGACACGGACCAGACUCCUACGGGAGGCAGCAGUGAGGAAUAUUGGUCAAUGGGCGCAAGCCUGAACCAGCCAUCCCGCGUGCAGGAAGACGGCCCUAUGGGUUGUAAACUGCUUUUCCAGGGAGAGAAACUUACGCACGUGUUGCGUGACUGACGGUACCCUGGGAAUAAGCAUCGGCUAACUCCGCGCCAGCAGCCGCGGUAAAGUCACGUCG
rnacentral:rRNA from 1 species